CGCCUGAGGUCCCUACACUGUGUCAUCCCACCUGACUGAGGUCCCUACACUGUGUCAUUCCACCCGCGUGAGGUCCCUACACUGUGUCAUCCCACCCGACUGAGGUCCCUACAAACACUGUGUCAUUCCACCCGCCUGAGGUCCCUACAAACACUGUGUCAUUCCACCCACGUGAGGUCCCUACA